UGGCAACCCUGCAUACGCAGGCCGCUGUGGAUGAUGGGAUAUGUCACGUACUGUUGAGCUAAACAAGCUCACCACCUGUUUAACCAGCGUCAUUGUAGCAGUGUUACAUCUUCUGCCUGGAAACACCGUGAGCUAAUCACAGGCGGUGAAAACAGUCAUGGAUGCAAAUUCGAGUUCGAAUUGCUUACAUCACAUCCAAACGAAUCAGAGUAAGGAGAACCAAAGCGGUGCACCACCCCAAGGAAAUGAAGCACCAGUCACACAGGAUCUAAGCACAGAACACAGGAGGGAUUCAGUGGGAGCAGCACCUGAACUUCCACAGUGCAAAAUGGGUGGCAAGAAAGUAGAUGAUAUGAGCUUCAUGAUAUCCUGUACAAACUGGUACUAAGGGCAUGUGAUAAGUGAACACUUAACACAAUGUGAGAUUCAUCACACAAAGAAAUAUGGAUGCUAACCUGUAGCCUGAUAUGACAUUAAAUUUU